rnacentral:rRNA from 1 species
GAUGAACGCUGGCGGCGUGCCUAAUACAUGCCAGUCGAGCGAACAGACGAGGAUCUUUCUCCUCUUACGUUAGCGGCGGACGGGUGAGUAACACGUGGAUAACCGACCUAUAAGACUGGGAUCACUUCGGGAAACCGGAGCUAAUACCGGAUAAUAUAUUGAACCUCAUGGUUCAAUAGUGAAAGACGGUUUUGCUGUCACUUAUAGAUGGAUCCGCGCCGCAUUAGCUAGUUGGUAAGGUAACGGCUUACCAAGGCAACGAUGCGUAGCCGACCUGAGAGGGUGAUCGGCCACACUGGAACUGAGACACGGUCCAGACUCCUACGGGAGGCAGCAGUAGGGAAUCUUCCGCAAUGGGCGAAAGCCUGACGGAGCAACGCCGCGUGAGUGAAGAAGGUCUUCGGAUCGUAAAACUCUGUUAUUAGGGAAGAACAAAUGUGUAAGUAACUAUGCACGUCUUGACGGUACCUAAUCAGAAAGCCACGGCUAACUACGUG